rnacentral:rRNA from 1 species
AUUGAACGCUGGCGGCAGGCCUAACACAUGCAAGUCGAACGAGUGGCGGACGGGUGAGUAAUGUCUGUGAAACUGCCCGAUGGAGGGGGAUAACUACUGGAAACGGUAGCUAAUACCGCAUCCCAUCGGAUGUGCCCAGAUGGGAUUAGCUAGUAGGUGGGGUAACGGCUCACCUAGGCGACGAUCCCUAGCUGGUCUGAGAGGAUGACCAGCCCCACUGUAACGGAUACGCGAUCCAGACUCCUACGGGAGGCAGCAGUGGGGAAUAUUGCACUAGGGGCGCAAGCCUGAUGCAGCCAUGCCGAGUGUAUGAAGAAGUCCUUCGGGUUGUAAAGUACUUUCAGCGAGGAGGCGUUACUCGCAGAAGAAGCACCGGCUAACUCCGUGCCAGCCGCCGCGGUAAUAC